UAAAUAAAUUAAAACAAAAAUAAAAAAAAUAAAAAAACGUUAGCCAUGUGAUAUCCCUCAUUAAUUGAGGUGGUAGAUCAAGUGGCUGGAAACGUGCGUUCGAUGGUGGAACUUAGUCAGCGCGCACACGCUUGGUAAUCAAAACCAACGCCUAAGAUUAAAACAAUUCAAUGGAUCCUGUGCUCUGGAGACAUGUUGUAAGACCCCAAUUUUUACCCUAAGAUCCCUCAUGCAACUUCAUCAUAAGCAUCAACAUUAGG
rnacentral:lncRNA from 1 species